rnacentral:rRNA from 1 species
CCCGCUGAACUUAAGCAUAUCAAUAAGCGGAGGAAAAGAAACCAACAGGGAUUGCCCUAGUAACGGCGAGUGAAGCGGCAAAAGCUCAAAUUUGAAAUCUGGCUCUUUUAGGGCCCGAGUUGUAAUUUGUAGAGGAUGCUUCGGCGUCGGCUCCGGUCUAAGUUCCUUGGAACAGGACGUCAUAGAGGGUGAGAAUCCCGUAUGUGAUCGGUUGCCUUUGCCAUGUGAAGCUCCUUCGACGAGUCGAGUUGUUUGGGAAUGCAGCUCUAAAUGGGAGGUAAAUUUCUUCUAAAGCUAAAUACUGGCCAGAGACCGAUAGCGCACAAGUAGAGUGAUCGAAAGAUGAAAAGCACUUUGGAAAGAGAGUCAAAAAGUACGUGAAAUUGUUGAAAGGGAAGCGCUUGCGACCAGACCUGCCUGCAGUUGCUCAUCCGGACAUUUGCCCGGUGCACUCUUCUGCUGUCAGGCCAGCAUCGGUUCGGGCGGUCGGAUAAAGGCUUUGGGAAUGUAGCUCCUCUCGGGGAGUGUUAUAGCCCGUUGCGAAAUGCGGCCUGUCGGGACCGAGGAACGCGCUUCGGCUAGGAUGCUGGCGUAAUGGUUGUAAGCGGCCCGUCUUGAAACACGG